rnacentral:tRNA from 1 species
GCCGAGGUGGCUUAGGUGGUCAUAGCGCCCGGCUCAUACGGACAUUUCCCGGGGACGAUCCCCGGGUCCUGAGAAACCGGGAGGUCGGGGGUUCAAAUCCCCCCCUCGGCA